rnacentral:rRNA from 1 species
UACGAAGGGAACUAGCGUUGUUCGGAAUCACUGGGCGUAAAGCGCGUGUAGGCGGCUCGAUAAGUCUGCUGUGAAAGUCCAGGGCUCAACCCUGGGAUGCCGGUGGAUACUGUCGAGCUCGAGUCCGGAAGAGGCGAGUGGAAUUCCUGGUGUAGCGGUGAAAUGCGCAGAUAUCAGGAGGAACACCAAUGGCGAAGGCAGCUCGCUGGGACGGUACUGACGCUGAGACGCGAAAGCGUGGGGAGCAAACAGG